UAGAAAUGAGGGAAAAGAUAGGGAAUUUAAUACUCAGAAAAUUCUUAGAAGAGUUGAAGGGCUAGGUUUUAUGCUGAGGUGAGCUUUUGGGAAUACUCCCAGACACGACCACAUCACAGAAACUGGCCUGGGGAGGAAACAGUACCUCUACUAUAGUUACAAAGCUGAGGAAUCAGGAAACUCUUUUCCUUCCUGCUGGCUCCAGAAGUACCCUGCUUUAAUUGUCAUUCAGCAAUGACGGAGUUUCACUCAGAAAUAUUGAUUCUAGAGCCAUGCCACAUGGGCCAGAUCUCAAUAGCAAAAUGGAUGUCUGGGGUGCAUUUUCAGUCACCACUUAACUGAAUUCUGAAUUCAAGUCUUACACAAGUGCAUAUGACAGGCAGAACCUAAAGUGUAGGUAUAGGAGUUUGGGAAAUGUUUCACUCUCUGCUGUCUCUGCAAACCACAGAGGACCACAGAAGGCAGUGGAAACAGAGGUCAGAUGCUAACAGUCACCCGGCUACUUUGAAGAGGCCUCAAACCUCAUGCCUCAUAAGCGCUCACCCUGAUGCAUCCAGUAUUCCAAGAUCACUGGGAUUCAUGUCAUGUGCCCUCCUUCAGAACUCAAUCAGGAAAGAGGGCCCAUAAGCCACACAUCGAGAGAGAAGUCUCAAAGAUAAUGGGUAUAAAUGCGCAGGCCAAACCUACAUAGAAUAAUGUAUAUCUUUGUUUUUAUGUUUUCAUUACAUCAGUUCAAGGAUCCCCACUUCCUCCUUCAUGAGACUUCACCUAAGAUCUGAAGACAGAGGAUGAGGUGAAAGGGCCAGGGGCCAGGAAGGAACUGGCUGUUAUGGUGGCAUCACAAGUAACUUGUUCCCGGUCAUCUUCUUUGACAUUACAUCUGAUGUCACAUGUUACAUCUUAUGGCCACAGUACAUCUGAUGCUGACAUUUCCUGUCCCACAGGAGAGGAAGGGCAGUGUAACGUAAGAUUACAAAAUAUUUGGUUGGGGCAACAUUGAAUUGUGACUCCACUUAGUGCAUUGAGGAAACGAAGGAAAACAUUGGAUUAGAAGGGGUGAAGCAGAGUUUAUCUUUUAGAAAUCAUGAGUUUAAAAUGUCUAUUGUGCAUUCGAGGCAAACAUCAAGUAGACUUUAAAUAUGGCUGUCUAGAAUUCAGAAGAGAGGUUUAUGGUUAAAAUAUACAUUUAGGAGCCACCAGAAACAUAUAAUUGAUCUUUAAAUCAUGGGACUGAAUUAGAUCAUCUAACUUUUGAACUCCAAGAAGUGAAUGUAGAAACAUGGAUAAGUGAUUCAUUAAUAAAUCAGUUGAAGUUCCAGGCAAGGAAGCUGAGAAGCACCCAGUGAAAUAGGAGGAAAACUAGGGCAGUGCCACCUAUCAGAAGCCAAGGGAAGAAGGACCUCAAGAAAGUAUGACUGAUUAAUUUUGUCAAAGGUGGAUGAGAAAUGUGGAGAGAUCAAGACAGUUUAUCUCCAGAUUGGGUAACAUGGGAGUCAUGGAUACUUUCGAUAGGAAACAUUUCUGUAGACUGGGUGACAGUGGCUUUGAGAUAAACUAAGACAGAAGUUAGAUGUUGUGAGUCACGCAGACUGGUGGCAGCUGAUACAGAGAAAUCUGAUCAGAUCACUGGGAAAGAGCUGGGAGGGGGCACAGAAGGAAGCAAUCGUAACCAGUCUCGGAUGAAGUUGGCUGACAAGCUGAAUGCCUCCAGAGCUCAUGGAAUUGUGGACAAGAAGAUCUGAAAUAAAGGAAGGACUUUGGGGCUUUCAGACAGGCUGGCUCUCGGGCUCGCUGGCUCUCGGGCUCGCUGACUCUCUCUUCCUCUAGGAUGCCUGGAUGAUCGUGCGGAAGCUUCCUGCAUUUCCCAACAGAUGGUAUUUUAGAUGGGAAGGAACUCCGGGUGCAGCUCAGGGUUGGGCUGGCCUGGCACAGGAUGGCAGGUUUAUUUUUCUUUGGAUGUUCUAGAGGGAAUGGGUUGUGAGGCUGAAGCCUGCCAUUCUUCCAAAAUUAUGUAGCCUUUGUGUCUUAUGUUGUUUUAGCUUGUAAACUAACCCUAUAGCAAUAAGAUAAUUAGAAAUUAACAGGGGGGAAUGAUAGAACUCAGAUGUUAAGAGUUUAGCCUUAAUUGAUAGCAGUAAGUGACAAAUUCAUGUGAAAAGCUGUUAUUCCAAAACUGUGAGGCUUUUGA